AUUGAACGCUGGCGGCAGGCUUAACACAUGCAAGUCGAGCGGAGAUGAGGUGCUUGCACCUUAUCUUAGCGGCGGACGGGUGAGUAAUGCUUAGGAAUCUGCCUAUUAGUGGGGGACAACAUUCCGAAAGGAAUGCUAAUACCGCAUACGUCCUACGGGAGAAAGCAGGGGAUCUUCGGACCUUGCGCUAAUAGAUGAGCCUAAGUCGGAUUAGCUAGUUGGUGGGGUAAAGGCCUACCAAGGCGACGAUCUGUAGCGGGUCUAAGAGGAUGAGCCGCCACACUGGGACUGAGACACGGCCCAGACUCCUACGGGAGGCAGCAGUGGGGAAUAUUGGACAAUGGGGGAAACCCUGAUCCAGCCAUGCCGCGUGUGUGAAGAAGGCCUUAUGGUUGUAAAGCACUUUAAGCGAGGAGGAGGCUACUGAGACUAAUACUCUUGGAUAGUGGACGUUACUCGCAGAAUAAGCACCGGCUAACUCUGUGCCAGCCGCCGCAGUAA
rnacentral:rRNA from 1 species